CUUAUCAAGAGUGGUUGAGGGACGGGCCCGAUGAAACCCGGCAACCGGUCAGCAAUGACAUGGUGCCAAUUCCCGCGGCGCAGAUGCGUCGGAAGAUGAGG
rnacentral:ncRNA from 1 species